UCUGCUUUUUCUAUGGAUUAUCUGGGACCCAUUCCUUGGUCGUCUGAAAUUACAAACCCAGGCAACUGAGCAUGGUCAAUUGUCCUCCACAAAAACACCGAGGUGAAAAGGGAGUUAGCCAUGAUUCAGUGUGGCAGAAUACUAUACAAGAACUUGGACUUGGAGCUCCAUUUCUCCACUUGACAAUGGUGGUUCUAAGCUCUUCUGGAUCUGGGACAUCUUUGAAAAUCUGAUCAAGUCUCUGGACCCUUUCCCAAUGGGGGAAAACGCACAUAGGGAACCUGUUCUGAACAUUUAAUUCAUAAGAGCUUAAUUUUGGAAAAUGCCUUUCCUCACUGCCCUGUUGGAGAGUGAACUGUGAG